UCAGAUGAAACGCUGGCGGCGUGCCUAACACAUGCAAGUCGAGCGGUAACAGGUGUAGCAAUACAUGCUGACGAGCGGCGGACGGGUGAGCAAUAUUUGGGAAUCUGCCUAUUAGUGGGGGACAACCCGGGGAAACUCGGGCUAAUACCGCAUACGCACUACGGUGGAAAGCCGGGGACCGCAAGGCCUGGCGCUAAUAGAUGAGCCCAAAUCGGAUUAGCUAGUUGGUGAGGUAACGGCUCACCAAGGCGACAAUCCGUAGCUGGUCUGAGAGGACGACCAGCCACACCGGAACUGAGACACGGUCCGGACUCCUACGGGAGGCAGCAGUGGGGAAUAUUGGACAAUGGGGGAAACCCUGAUCCAGCGACGCCGCGUGGGUGAAGAAGGCCUGCGGGUUGUAAAGCCCUUUCGGUGGGGAAGAAAAGUUUCGACCUAACACGUCGAGACCUUGACGUAACCCAUAGAAGAAGCACCGGCUAACUCUGUGCCAGCAGCCGCGGUAAUACAGAGGGUGCGAGCGUUAAUCGGAAUUACUGGGCGUAAAGCGCGCGUAGGCGGCUUUGCAAGCCGGAUGUGAAAUCCCCGGGCUUAACCUGGGAACUGCAUUCGGGACUGCAUUGCUUGAGUAUGGGAGAGGGAGGCGGAAUUUCCGGUGUAGCGGUGAAAUGCGUAGAUAUCGGAAGGAACAUCAGUGGCGAAAGCGGCCUCCUGGACCAAUACUGACGCUCAUGUGCGAAAGCGUGGGGAGCAAACAGGAUUAGAUACCCUGGUAGUCCACGCCAUAAACGAUGAGAACUGGAUGUCGGGAGGGUCUGCCUCUCGGUGUCGUAGCUAACGCGUUAAGUUCUCCGCCUGGGGAGUACGGCCGCAAGGUGAAACUCAAAG
rnacentral:rRNA from 1 species